GCAAAGGAGGCGGGAACAAAGUUGCCGCGCACGGGCGUGCUCGCUCCCGCCAAGCGACGGCCGUCUGGCCCGGAAGUGGGGGAACGUAGAGACGGCUCCACUUCCGAUGGGGGUGGGACUCUGUGAAGAAGAGUUAAAGAAAGGAGAGGAUUCGUGCGCCGCCCACUGCUGGCGCUGGAGACUCUCGGAGCGACGGCGAGCCGGUCGUGCUUGUUGCUUGCGUCCAGCGCGCAGCAGCGGCUCUGGAUCUUCGCAGGGGCCGGACCGCCUGCCUGUUGACAGGUCACGGCGAGAGCAAGAAUCUGAAGACUCAGGAAUAAUGCCGUUAAUGACCUUCUGGGCUGGGUAAUCACCCCGUCGUCUCCCCUCAGCCAAGCCCGGAGGGAGGUUGGAACAGCUGCGAGAGAGGAAGAGAGGGCACCCUGGAAGAGAGGGCGGAGAUGGCGUUAGCUUAAACUAUCUCUUGUACACCCAAGUUCCAGGCCCCAUCUUGACCUAAAAACACAGUUGGAAAUCCCAAUCUGGCGCUUCCAUAACACUGAAGUUUAAAAAAAAAAAAAAAGUCAAUACGAGGAAUAAUGAAACGUCGAAAGGAACUCCUGGAAACCCCAGAAUUUUUACCGGCGGCCUUGAAGUCAAAACAUCUUGCUCAAAUGAGAGCUGCCCUUUUGGCACUUCUCCCUCUUUCACCUUAACUAUCCAAACCUGUGGGGCUGCAAAGCAUAACCAUUCGGUGACCUCACGUCUCAUUUCUUGCAUUACUAGGUUAGCCUUUCAGUUACAGACUGGGCACUUGGGACAAUUAUCAUAGAUUAAAACUUAAAUGGCUUAUUGGUUUGGGGUUUUUUAAAAUUUUAAUUGGAUUAUAGUUGAUUUACAAUGUUGUGUUUCAGGUGUACGCGAAGUGAAUCAGUUAUGCAUAUGCAUAUACCCACUCUUUUUUAGAUUCCUUUCCCACGUAGGCCAUUACAGAGUAUUGAGUAGAGUUCCCUGUGCUACACAGCAGGUCCUUAUUAGUGGCUUAUGGGGUUUUAAUAUGGUUGCAAAGAGAAGCUGAGCAAUGCAUUCAAUGGCUACAUGUAGUCACCCGUUUUCAAGUUUAUUUGUUCAGUGCAUCACUUGGUUCUUAAACACUUGGUAGCCAUCCAUCAUGCAUGCCUUAGUGUAAAUACUUUUAAUUGACUUGACAUCCACUAACACUGUCUCAGUCUGGACUCACCUAAGCUAAAAUGAGACUUCACUGAAAGAACACAAAGGGUGUUUACUGAAGAAUAAAGGAGGAGGCAAAGGAGUAGGUAACCUUGAAGGCAGUUCAUUUCCCAGGAGGAUAGGCCCCCGGUUGGGCCACACAGUGGGACCUGCCACGCAGCCAGAAGGAUGUGAUAAGUGCACUGGGAAACUGAAUAGAAAAGUAAGGGACAAGGUGCCUAAAAACGUUUCUCCUUGGCAGUAUUGCUUCCUGAAGUUCCUACAGCCUAAACCAGUUAGCGAGUGGCUUUUUCCAAAAAAAUACGAUCAACCUGCCCCAUCAUCCUACUUUGAAAAGCCAGGAGUAACAGAACAAGGAGGGCAAAAUGGAUUUAUCUAGCAGUUCGUCACACGUGACCAACUCCAGUAGUGAAUGAGAGUUCCUGUUCUCUACAUCCUCACCAGCAACAGGUGUCGUCAACUUUUUUGGAUUUUCGUAAUUCUAAUAGGGUUUUGAAAUUCAGUCCUCGGAUGAAAUCUCAAGGGGACAUGUGACAGGGUGGAAAGAGUAAGAGGUUGAGUCAGAGGGACUCUGGCUAUAGCAUUUAGAUUCUAAUGCAGCAAGUCCGGGGCUGGACCCAAGGAGUCUGGAUGUAAGCAGCAUCCCAGGGGAUCCUGAUGCAGUUGGUCCCUGGAGAAAUACGGCCCUAAACAGGACGCUCCGGAGGGCGUCGUGCUGGUCUCUGGCACACAGUGGCGGGUCCUGGAUUGCUGCAGCCAGAAAUCACCGGGGACUGUGAACCCACUUGCCUGCUGUGGACACCUCCUACAAGCCUGAUUCGGAACUGGGAACCCUGGGCUGAUGACCGCGGAGAGCCCCUAUUCCACUGUCUUAGUUUACACAAGGGGAACUGAGGCUCAGAGUCGCACAGGGAGCUGUUCCGAAUUACAAAUCAGGAUAACGACCUACUUCUGGAGAGAAGAGCCCCAAGGGCAGAGGGUGUCGGUGGUUCUGAAGAGAAGCAGAGGACACACCCAGGG